CUACGGGCUGCUGCAGUUAGGCAUAAUCUACAAUGCGCGCAAGCGUGAUAGUUUGAGUCAGAGUGCGCUUCAAUUUGGAGUGCUUUUGUGAAAUUUAAAAUGUUUCACGAAUAAGGACUGGGUAAGACUAGUGCCAGCCGCCGCGGUAAUACUAGCGGUCCGAGUCGCAGCCAUUUUUAUUGGGUCUAAAACAUCCGUAGCUUGCUUUGUAAGUUCCUUGUGAAAUCCUAUAUCUCAAGUAUAGGGCGGGCAGGGAGUACUACUAAGCUAGAGACUGGAAGACGUAAAGAGUAUGUUCAAAGUAGCGGUAAAAUGUGUUAAUCUUGAGCAGACUAACAAUAGCGAAGGCACUUUACGAGGACAGUUCUGACAGUAAGGGAUGAAGGCUAGGGGCGCAAAACGGAUUAGAUACCCCGGGUAGUC
rnacentral:rRNA from 1 species